GAAGGACCCUGGGAGAUGCAGGCGCUAGUGCAGGGAUGCUGCUGCGGAGAGAGGGACGGUCCCAUCUCCAACAGCGGUCUCUCUGGUGCCACGUGCAGGGGCCAGCGUACAACAGGCACACCCUUCCCGGAGAGACCGAGCCUGUGGAGCACGCCAAGGAGAUCCUGAUCCUCCGGCACAAAAGCCUGCGGAUGGAAGUGAGUGGAGGCGACGCGGCCAGCUCCGGUAAGGAGAAGGAUGACUCCAAUUCAGCGCAGGGCGACUCCAGCGUGCAGCCCAAGCUGUGCCGCUCCUUCACCGUGGGAAAUGCAGAAAACGUUCGGGAGGUGAAACAGAACCGGUCGAAGUCAGUGUGUGUCAUCCCACCGCGGCAGCCCAGCGCUGGGCUUCUCACCCCCUGGGGUAAGAAGAAAGAGAUAGAGAAAGAGCUGACUUUGAAGACAAAAAGCACGAGUGCUGCUGCUGACUUCCCAUGA
rnacentral:lncRNA from 1 species